UCCAAUCGAACUCGGAGAUAGCUGGUUCUCCUCGAAAUAGCUUUAGGGCUAGCCUCGAGCUGGAGUCUAACGGAGGUAAAGCACUGAACUGACGCGGGGCCCAAAAAGGUUACCAACUCAUAUCAAACUAAGAAUGCCGUCAAGAUACCCUCGGGAGUCAGUCUGCGUGAGAUAAGUCGCGUGGACAAAAGGGAAAGAGCCCAGACCGACAGCUAAGGUCCCAAAGUACGUGUUAAGUGGAAAAGGAUGUGGGAUUUCAUAGACAACUAGGAUGUUGGCUUAGAAGCAGCCAUACAUUUAAAGAGUGCGUAAUAGCUCACUAGUCGAGAAAACCUGCGCCGAAAAUGUAACGGGGCUAAAACACGACACCGAAGCUACGGAUUCCUUACAAAGUAAGGAGUGGUAGAGGAGCAUCCUGCAAGGACGAAGCCAAAGUGAGAGCGAUGGUGGACGAAACAGGAGAGAGAAUGCCGGAAUGAGUAGCGAGAUACAUGUGAGAAACAUGUAGGCCGAAUAUCUAAGGAUUCCUGGGUAAAGCUAAUCUUCCCAGGGUUAGUCGGGGCCUAAGGCGAGGACGAAAGUCGUAGUCGAUGGAUAACAGGUUGAUAUUCCUGUACUACACAUAAUCAGAACUGUGGGGACGCAGGAGGAUAGGGAAACCGGGGAAUGGAAAGACCCGGUCAAGCGUAAAGCUGUGGGAGAUAGGCAAAUCCGUCUCUUGUAAGUGAAACGUGAUGAGGACUGAAAAAAAGUAAGGAAGUUUCCGAAUCCACACUGCCGAGAAAAGCCGCUAUUGCGUUAUGUGUACCCGUACCGUAAACCGACACAGGUAGAUGAGGAGAAAAUCCACAGGCCGACGGGAGAAGUGUUGUUAAGGAACUCGGCAAAAUGACCCCGUAACUUCGGGAUAAGGGGAGCCUCGCAAGAGGCCGCAGAAAAGAGGCACAAGCAACUGUUUAGCAAAAACAUAGGUCUAUGCGAAACCGUAAGGUGAAGUAUAUGGGCUGACGCCUGCCCGGUGCUGGAAGGUUAAGAGGAGAGGUUAGCGCAAGCGAAGCUUUGAAUUUAAGCCCCAGUAAACGGCGGCCGUAACUAUAACGGUCCUAAGGUAGCGAAAUUCCUUGUCAGGUAAGUUCUGACCCGCACGAAAGGCGUAAUGAUUUGUGCACUGUCUCGACAACACGCCCGGUGAAAUUGAAGAACCAGUGAAGAUACUGGUUACCCGCAACAGGACGGAAAGACCCCAUGGAGCUUUACUGCAGCCUGAUACUGGGAUUCGAUGAUAUAUGUACAGGAUAGGUGGGAGGCUAAGAAGCGAGAACGCUAGUUUUCGUGGAGCCGCCGGUGGGAUACCACUCUUAUGUCAUUGAAUUUCUAACCUGCAUCCGUAAUCCGGAUGAGGGACAAUGUCAGGCGGGCAGUUUGACUGGGGCGGUCGCCUCCUAAAAGGUAACGGAGGCGCUCGAAGGUCACCUCAGAAUGAUUGGAAACCAUUCAAAGAGUGUAAAGGCAAAAGGUGGCUUGACUGCGAGAGCGACGGCUCGAGCAGGUACGAAAGUAGGACUUAGUGAUCCGGUGGUAAUAAGUGGGAAUGCCAUCGCUCAACGGAUAAAAGCUACCCUGGGGAUAACAGGCUUAUCUCCCCCAAGAGUUCACAUCGACGGGGAGGUUUGGCACCUCGAUGUCGGCUCAUCGCAUCCUGGGGCUGAAGUAGGUCCCAAGGGUUGGGCUGUUCGCCCAUUAAAGCGGUACGCGAGCUGGGUUCAGAACGUCGUGAGACAGUUCGGUCCCUAUCCGUUGUGGGCGCAGGAAAUUUGAGAGGAGCUGUCCUUAGUACGAGAGGACCGGGAUGGACGUACCUCUGGUGUACCGGUUGCAGACCAACUGCACAGCCGGGUAGCUAUGUAUGGAACGGAUAAACGCUGAAGGCAUCUAAGCGUGAAGCCGCCCUCAAGAUAAGAUUUCCCAUUCUUCGGAAGUAAGAUCCCUUAAAGAUAAUGAGGUUGAUAGGUUGGAGGUGUAAGCAUGGUAACAUGUUCAGCUGACCAAUACUAAUAGAUCGAGGGCUUGACCAA
rnacentral:rRNA from 1 species